UCGUUGUUUUUAUUGACUCACUCAAAUACGAACAAGCAAAACAUUUGUCUAUUUUUAAAUGCAACAGUAAUGAAUUUUCAUUCACUAUAUUCUUUUCAUACAAUUCUCCACCCAAUUUCACGCUAGAUUCUGCAAAUCACAAAACCAUUCUUGAUUUUUGAUUCUCGAUUCUGCAAUAUCCAUCUCAGUUCUGUUUGAAUUCAUCUCAAUUCGAGCUAUUCAAUCACACGAUCGGUUUAAUUCAUCUGCAUUCAGCAAUUUCUCAGCAAUUCUCUCCAAUCAGCGAUUUCAAUUUGCAACGAGCUAUUCAAUCGCUGAAUUCUCUGUAAUCAGCGAUUUUCUCUGCAAUCACACCACAAAUUCGCUCGAAUAUGGGUGAAUCGAUUAUAAGCCCUAGGAUCUUACACCAUAUGGUUAAUUGCAUUCAAUUACAAGUUCAGGAAGUUCUGCAAGCCGAUUGGUGUCUGUGAAGCGGACGACCAAACCAUUGCGUCGUGUGGAAAAUGUGGAGAAAUGUGUCCCAAUGACUCUAGAAAUUGUGGCAGACAAGGAAUACGAGAGCAUUUAGUUUGUUUUGAAGUACUUGAAGUUUAUAGUCGUAUUUGUUUUUAUCUUACCAGAUUGCAGUCUUACUCUAUGAAGAUUGCAGUCUUACUCUAUAAAGAUUGCAGUGUUCGUGUCUGCAUAAUUCGUAAUAGUUUUACCUUACUGGAUUGCAAUCUUACUCUAUGAACAUUACAAUGUUACGUGUCUGCAUAAUUUGUAAUAGUUUUUUACCUUACCAGAUUGCAGUGUUACUCUA